CUAAGUGGCAAAGUGCUGCCGUGUUUCAAGUUAAGGGCUUCCAUGGAUUGUGUGAUAAAUACAGGUGUGAAUGUGGGUGAUUUGUUUUAUUCUUCAGUGCCCAUUAAGUAGAAGCUUGUAUUUUCCUCCUUCCCCCUUCAAGAGCCCCCCUCCCCACCAUGCAGGCACAUGGAGGCCCCAAGUUGGAAGCACAUUCACAGCCUGAAGCUGAAGGACAGGCUCUGAAAAAUCUUUCUUUCAGCAAAACGUCUACUAAUCUCAGAAAGUGAGCUUUGUCACCAUUGAUACUCUGUAAGGUGGGAUGAAAGCAAGUUUUCUUACUCAUUUUGCCCAGUUGUCAAGAAAUGCUGCCCUUCUCUCUAACAUAAAUUAACAGGUUUGGCUACAGCCUAGAGAAAUACAAAAUGUCACAUUUUAGCCUUAGUGGCCGGUUUUCAAAGGGUGCCUGAGUGUGAACACCAUGUCGGCUGCUCUGUUAAUGUGACUGGGUCUCAUAAAUAGGUAUUUUUCUACCCCUGUGAUGGACAAAUCUGAAAAAGUUUUUUCAUCUUACAAGCCCAGAGGAUGGUAUUUAGAGGCUGAUUUUUGGUAUCUCAGUUCCUGGUAGGGAAGACGAAUUCCGUAUUUGAAAUUUGGGGACAAACAAAAAUAAUUCUUUCUCUUUCCUUGAAGGGUUAAUGCUCCAACCAGCCUCAGAUUGGUUCGCUUGAAUCUUAAAAUUACUUUUCUGGUCACGCGCACCGAAGGUCUAAGCAUUUGUGAAAUGUCUUUUUUUUUUUUCUUUCCUCUUGAUGCUGUUCUCUUUGGGCUGUCUUAAUUACACAGGGGUUGAGAAACCAAAUUAAAAUUAGGCGUGUCUGGUCAACAGUGAUCACGUUGCAUGCUUUUAGCUUUGCUUGUUGAAGUUGCUUCUCCUCCCCGAGUGGCUUUCCUCCCCACAAUUUUUUUUUUUUGAAGGAAAUAUCAUAAGCUCUUUCAGAAAUACUCACAGGAAGUGAGAGUCCGUAUGCUGGUUACUCACCAGCAACUGAGUGUUGGCAGGUGGAGAAUGCUACCGCAGCCCGCCCAGACGGAUCUGCAGACUGGCCCCAUCGCAGAGGAUUAGACAGAGGGUGCAUGGAUCAUAGGGUUUUUGAACAGAAGGGAGUUUUAAGAGGAAAUUGGUCACUGCGUGUCAUCUCGAGGGGUGGUGAUUCAGGGAGCAGGGCUGGGGGUCAGAAGGCACGUGGCUGCCAUCUCAGAGGUUGCUGCUCACUUCUCAGAGGGCAGGCUGGCUUCUAAAAAUCAACGCUCCCUCCACCCCCAAACAGCGAUUCUUCUGCAGUGAAUCACUUCCAGAAAUGAAUAGCCACAGUUUUUUGGAAUGAACGUUGUGAAAUCCCUCCUUUAUAAUGGCAGGUUUUCAGUUGGUGGUUUUAUCAGAAUUUCUCAAGAUCAAAACGAAACCUUCUCUUUAAAAAGGAAAGAAAGUACUAUCGAUACAGAAAGCAAAAGUAUUUCCAGUCUCCUACUGAACUGUCACGGCAGACCUCUCUGUAUCUAUAUUUAGAGCUGUAUGUCCAUAUAUUUGCCUGAAUGUGUGAGUUCUUGGAAGUAUGGAUUCAUUGCCAGGAGCUGGUGAUUUCCUAAGCAGAGGUCGCUAACUACAAGAAAUGUUACACUCGGACAAGUCCUGCGCUUGGGGAUCCUCUGUACGCCCGUUCACUGGUGAGUAUGUAUGACAGCAAUUUCUGAUUUCACUAGUUCUUGCUUCUAACACCUAAAUGGUGCUUUGUCUAGGGAAACGCUUUAAAGAGCAUUUUCCCCCAGUACGUUUAUAAUACAUUUCAUAUUUACCUCCAGAAAAUACUGUGGAUGUGAUAAUAAUUAUAAAAGACAACCCACAGACAACAAUGAAAGUUAAGAAUUAAGAUAUAUUCUGAUAGAUUUUUGCAGCAUAUUGACAUAAAGGCAGUUUUGGUUUUGACAUAUGUACACUAAAAUGAUAUCUGUAAUGCUAUUAAAACUCAAGUGUACAAGGCACCAGUAUAUUCUGGCAAAAAUAAUAUAAUGAUCAACAGUUAAUGAAAGACUUGUGCUUUGAGCUUCUAACAAAAUGUUAAUAUGUAGAGAAUCUUGUGAUUCAUGAUGCUUUGGUUCUCAACCAGGGUUAUCAAAUAAGCUAAAAGUAUCAGAAGAGGACAAAGAAAGUACGUAAAACAUGGAUAAAAGCAGAAACCGAGAAAAGAUAGCUUUGAUAUUUAAAGUGUUAGAUUAUGGCCUCUAUAUAAUGUCAUAUAUGCCAGAUCCCCCCCCAAAAUCACACCCUCAAAUUAUGAUCUUCAUUAUUCAAAAGAUGUUUGGCGUGUUGGUGGUACAGUGGUGAGCGUAGUUGCCUUCCAGAAGAUGGUUGGUGUAUAAUUACUAUAGAAUUUCUUGCUCUCUUGGGAGGUGGCUUAGUAGAAGGUUGAGUCAGGCAAGCUGGGGCUGUUUAUUCAGUGUGCUGUGCUGUGCUGUGCUGUGCUGUGCUGUGCUGUGCUGUGCUGUGCUGUGUCUGAAUGCCUGGGAGUUUGCGUUGUUAACCUUUCCAGGGUGCUAGAUCCCUUUGAGAUUAUGAUGGAAGCCAUGAAUCCUUUUCCCACACCUGUAUGCAAACAUGUGCCUGCCCAUUUACAGACCCAAAGAAGGACAUCCAUGUACCCCACGUUAAGAAGGCUGCCCUGGACUAAGCCCUCACUGUGACUCUGCUGUUCUUAAGCUUCCCAGGAAACACUGUUAUGUAAAAAGACGAGCCAUCCAGGUCAAAAAGAAGUCAUUGUGGUUGCUAGGUGGGGGUGCAAAGCCAAAGACAAAGGGUGGGGAAAAUACAUGACUAAUAAUAAAUAAAGAGCAUGGUUAAUACCAGAGUCUCCAAACUGAUAGCCCAGAAUCCCUCAACAUGUAGCCACGAGUAUUUGUAAAGUACGUUGUGAAUUCAGGUAGAGGGCCGAAGACUCAAUAUUAAGCAGUUGGGCAGAGUUUUCAUACAUAUAUUUGUCUCUGCCUUUUGCACAAUAUAAAACUAUGAAAUCUCUUUUCAUUUUUCUAUUGUGCACGCUACCACAUUAGGUAGGAAUCAAAAUCAUCUCAACUCCAGAAGUAUAAUUCAUAACAAUUAUAACAAAGCAGAAAAAUGAUUCUACAUUAGCAGAAGAAAUGUAGUAGGAAUAGAUUUAAAAUAGCAUGGUUGAGUACAAAAGAAACAUCGUUUUUUAAAAAAUGGCAGCCUUUAUCACUCAUCAGCUAAACUUAAAGUCAAUGCUGUGAGGCUGUUGCGGGAAAAAAAUAGUCAUGAUUCUUGGGUGUAUUAAAAGGAGUAUGACAUAGAAGGGUAAGAAAACAAGACGUAGUGUGUUUGUCAGACUCAUCAUUGUGUCCUGUUUGAGUCACACUUAAAAAAAGAAUUUGGACAAUUGUGAAAAGCUGAUACACAAGCAACAGAAAUUACACGCCCUUCCAGGAAAAGAUAAGGCAACUGAGGAUUUUAUUCCACACAAGGCUGGAGGAUUUUUUGCUAAUGGCCUUUAAGUAGUAACAGUCUGGUUUAUCCUUAUAUUCCUAGGGCCUUCCGCUCUGCCUGGUGCACAGUACUUGAGAUGAUCGUUGUGUUUAGUGAUAAUGAGUAAGGUUCCUGUGAGAGACUUAGCAGGAGUAAGUAGGUUCAAAUAAAACCAGCGAUAGUGUCAUGACAGACGGUAUAUAAUACAUGAAUUUGCUGGGUGAUUAAUACAUAAGGAUGACUGUCUCACUUGUGAGGAUGAUAUAAUACUUCAGCAGCUAACUGGGGGAAGCUACAAAAUCUUGGUUUGAUACCUCUUUCAGGAUGAAAGCAGAUAAGUCUGCUGGGGUGGUGGAAACAUUCAUUCAUUCAUUCUACAAACCCUGAGGGCCUACUUGGCUAGGUGCUCACGGUCUGGUAGAGGAGACAAAGAUACAAAAACAGAGUCACAGUGUGUAAUGAGUGCCAUGGGAGCAUAAAAACAGCAUGCGCAGGGCUUGUGACACUCAACCGCCACCCCGCGCAGCUUCCAAUGGAGGCAAAGUCACAAUUGACCCCAAUAGACAGGCUUGACAGAGUUAGUUGGAUGGGAGGCAGGUGGGGCAGCCUGUCCAGAGGCGCAGACCUGUGUGUGUGGGGAAGGGGUGAUGGGAGAUGCAGACUCGGCAGUGCUUGUUAACAGAGGUGUGAAUGCCGCGCCUUGCUUGCCUGAAGAUUUCCACCCAGGAUCCUGACAAAAGUCAGAUGUGCACUUCAGAAAGGCCAGGCGGGCUGCAGUGAAGAGAAUGACUCGAGGGGGUGCGGGUGUGGGACAGGCCAUCGAGGCAAGGAGGCCAAAUGGAAAGCUUUGGUCAGGACACAGGUGGUGAUGGAUUCGGGGGAGAAAUGGGGGAGGGUGACGCAGGCAGAGUGGCCAGGGUUAUCAAGUGGCAUCAUUCACCACAAAAUGCAGUCCAAGAGGAAGCCCAGCUGUGAGGGGGGGACAGGUGGGGCCCAGGUGUGAGGGGGGAUAGGUGGCAUUCAGACAUGUCAGUACACAGAGUCAAUGGCAGAGACAGAGCCAGUGGGCAGUUGCACCAUGUGGAUAAGGACUUGAGUGAGACCUGUCUCCAAAGCAGGGGAUCACUCUUCUAAUUUUUUAUAUGGUGUUUUUCAUUCUAUUCUGACUCAUUUGUAAUAAAACCUCCUUUGUUUUUUAUCAUAUAUAUUUCAGGUGUCAACAUGCUGGUUUGAUAUAACAUGUACAAAGCAAAAUAAUAACUUACACUCCAGCUGUGAGUGUACCAUCUCACAGUUACCUUUUUGUGCAUGUGUGUUAAGCCCACCUAAAAUGCACUUAGAAAUAUUCAGUAUCUUCACUGUGGUCAUGCUGUACUGCAGAUCUCUAGAUGUAUUCGUCUGACAUCAUUCCAGCUUUAUACCCUUUGACCCACAUCUCCCCAUCCCCCCAACCACCUCUCUCUGUUUCUAUGGACUGUAUUUGACUAUUUUAGAUUCCACAUAUUACCUCUAAUCCUCAAAGCUCUAUUAGGGUUUUGUGUAUUUCCUUCCAGCAUUUUCCUACAUACACACAAUUUGCAGAAUCAGCAUAAUUCUGUAUAGGUACUUUAUUUAUUUAUUUAUUUUGAGAUGGAGUUUCGCUCUUGUUGCCCAAGCUGGAGUGCAGUGGCACAAUCUCGGCUCAAUGCAACCUCUGCCUCCUGGGUUCAAGCAAUUCUCCUGCCUCAGCCUCCCAAUUAGCUUGGAUUACAGGCACGCGCCACCACGCCCAGGUAGUUGUGUAUUUUUAGUACAGACGGGGUUUCACCCUAUUGGUCAGGCUGGUCUCGAACUCCUGACCUCAGGUGAUCCACCCACCUCGGCCUCCCAAGGUGCUGGGAUUACAGGUGUGAGCCACCACGCCCAGCCUGUAUAGACACUUUCCUCUUUUUUUUUUUUUUUUUUUGAGACGGAGCCUUGCUCUGUCACCCAGGCUGGAGUGCAGUGGCGCAGUCUCGGCUCACUGCAAACUCCACCUCCCGGGUUCAUGCCAUUCUCCUGCCUCAGCCUCCCAAGUAGCUAAGACUACAGGUGCCCGCCACCACGCCCGGCUAAUUUUUUGUAUUUUUAGUAGAGACGGGGUUUUACCAUGUUAGCCAGGAUGGUCUCGAUCUCCUGACCUCGUGAUCUGCCCGUCUCGGCCUCCCAAAGUGCUGGGAUUACAGGCUUGAGCCACCAUGCCCGGCCUGUAUAGACACUUUCUAUCCCACUUUUAAAACAGGCAUGUUCUCCCUAUGCUUUAAAAUGCCUUUAAAAUAUUUCUAAUGGUGCUAAUUCUCUAAUUUGGGAGUGUCUAAUUUGCUUCCAGUUUUUAAAAACUAUUUUUUAUUAUAGUAAUUAACCUUUUAAAUACAUGAAUCUUGGGCAUAUUUUUAAUGAUUUCCUUAGGAGAGAUUCCUUACAGUGAAUUUCUUGAGUAAAAGGAGGUUAACUGUAAGAUUCUUGAUAUACCUUGCUAAAUUGUUUUCUAGAAAGCUUGAACCAAGUUCUGCACAUUUUAGCAAAGUAUGAAAUGUCCUUCUCUCCAUAUCUUCAUCAGCAUUGAGUGUUCUCUCUUUUUUAUCUUUAGACAAAAAGGUUACAUUCUUUUUGGUUCAUCUACUCAGAAGCUAUUUAAUGAAUGUUCACUCCAUGUCAGGCAUGUGGCAUGUUUUCAUCUCUACCAGUAACGCUGAACUUUCUUCUUGUGUGCAUCAGCCUGUUGUUUUCUUUUGUAAAUGUUCUGUUCGUGUCCAUUAUCAACUUUUCUACUAGGGUGUGACUGUUUCUAUGAUAUAUUUAUAACGAUGUGUGUGUGUGUGUGUGUGUGUAUACGAUAUUUGGGGUAAAUACUUUUCCCAGCUUCUUUGACUUUUAAUUUUGCUUAUACUUUAUUGGAAAUACAGAACCUUUAUUUUAUUAUUAUUAUUAUACUUUAAGUUCUGGGAUACAUGGGCAGAACGUGCAGGUUUGUUACAUAGGUAUAAACGUGCCAUGGUGGUUUGCUGCACCCAUCAAACCACCAUCUACAUUAGGUAUUUCUCCUAAUGCUAUCCCUCCCAUAGUCCGCCACCCACCAACAGGCCCUGGUGUGUGAUGUUCUGCUCCCUGUGUCCAUGUGUUCUCAUGAGAACCUUUAUAUUUUAUGUAGUGGAGUAAGUUAUUUUAUCUUUUUUUUUUUCCUGUGUAACUUCUGUUACCUCAGGCUUAGGAAUUCCUUCCUACCCAGAAGUUAGAAAAUAUUCAUCUAUUUUUUUUUAAAGUUUCAUUUUUAACAUUAAACUCACCAAAUUAGAAGUAAGAUGUGGCCAGGCACAGUGGCUCACACCUGUAAUCUCAGUGCUUUGCGGGGGCUAAGGUGGAAAAAUCACUUGAGGCUAGGAGUUCAAGACAAGCCUGGGUAACACAGUGAGACCCCACCUCUACCAAAAAAUUUAAAAAUUAGGCAGGCAUGGUAGCAUGUGUCUGUAGUCCUAGCUGCUUGGGAGGCUGAGGUGGGAGGAUCACUUCAGCCCAGAAGCUUGAGGCUGUAGUUAGCUAUUAUCAUGCUAUUGCAUUCCAGCCUAGGCAACAGAGCAAGAACCCUGUGUCUUU
rnacentral:lncRNA from 1 species